rnacentral:sRNA from 1 species
UUGUUAGUCUCUUUUAGAGAUACUGAGAAAAACUGCUUUUGUUGGUAUCUUUUUGUGUUGUUUGCUUUUUAAUGUCUUUAAGUUUUUGAAGGGUCCCAGUCAAUUAUCUUUAGAAUGUCCCACCCAACUUUGGAUUUGUCUGUUUCCUCAGAAUUAGAUUUACCUGAAUUUAUCAUGUUAAACAUUUUUCACAGUGAUACCACAUCUGUGAUGUUGUGUAAUUCUGCUAACACUGUAUCAAAAGGCACCUAAUGCCAACAUAAAGUUUAUGAUAUAUAAAUUUGUAAUUGGCAGCAACAAAGACUUAAUUGCUUGAAUCAUUUUUUCAUUUUUCAAAUAGACAACGACUGAAAGACCUUUCAUUCAGAAGCUGUUUCGUCCUGUUGCUGCAGAUGGACAGUUGCACACACUAGGAGAUCUCCUCAAAGAAGUUUGUCCUUCUGCUGUUGAUCCUGAAGAUGGGGAAAAAAAGAAUCAAGUGAUGAUUCAUGGAAUUGAGCCAAUGUUGGAAACACCUCUGCAGUGGCUGAGUGAACAUCUGAGCUACCCGGAUAAUUUUCUUCAUAUUAGUAUCAUCCCGCAGCCAACAGAUUGAAGGAUCAACUAUUUGCCUGAACGGAAUCACCCUUAAAUGGGAUUUAUCAGAGCAUGUCACCCUUUUGCUUCAAUCAGGUUUGGUGGAGGCAACCUGACCAGAAACACUUCGCUGCUGCAAGCCAAACAGGAAAAAGAUUCCAUGUCAGAUAAGGCAACUGGGCUGGUCUUACUUUGCAUCACCUCUGCUUUCCUCCACUGCCAUCAUUAAACCUCAGCUGUGACAUGAAAGACUUACCGGACCACUGCAAGUCUUCUGUAAAAUAUAAUGAAGCUGAAAUCUUUGGCCUAAGAAGAAAAUGGAAAUAUGUGCCACUCGAUUUGUAUUUCUGAUUAACAAAUAAACAGGGGUAUUUCCUAAGGUGACCAUGGUUGAACUUUAGCUCCUGAAAGUGGAAACAUUGGUUUAAUUUUCAAGAGAAUUAAGAAAGUAAAAGAGAAAUUCUGUUAUCAAUAACUUGCAAGUAAUUUUUUGUAAAAGAUUGAAUUACAGUAAACCCAUCUUUCCUUAAUGAAAAUUUCCUAUGUUUACAGUCUGUCUAUUGGUAUGCAAUCUUGUAACUUUGAUAAUGAACAGUGAGAGAUUUUUAAAUAAAGCCUCUAAAUUUGUUUUGUCAUUUAAUAACAUACAGUUUUGUCACUUUUCAAGUACUUUCUGACUCAUAUACAGUAGAUCACUUUUUACUCUGUGUUACCAUUUUGACUGGUCGUCAUUGGCUGGGGUGGAUAUAGGGCAUAGGAUUACUUGUCUCAGGAGCUGUCAUGGAAUUUCUUGCUGCCAAUUAAAAAACCUGUGUUCAUUACACACUACACGUAUAAAUAUUGUAACUGUUCAUCUUUGUUGUUUUAUCACUGUAAGCCUGUCAAAUCAUAGUAUCCUAAGCAUCUGUAAAUGCUAAGUUUGCAUUUUUGGAAAAACCCACUCCUUCCAAGCUAGUGUUUUUCUUUGGCUCCAGGUCUAAUUUUUCACUGUGGUCCCUGGCAGCCAGUCUUUUGAAGUUUAAAGAUUACCUGUCUCCUGACUGCAGUACCUUUUCUUUAAUUUCUACCAAAAAUAUCCAGAGGUUACUGGAGUUCUUAUUCAAUAUAAGGAAAGUUUGCUGCACUUUAUUACCAAGCCUCUGGGAUUUUACCAGUCAAACAUAUUUGUGCAUUACAUUUCAUUUCUUGUGAGCUAGCUGGCUGUCCAUAUUGAAUGUUGACCCAUUUGAGUAUGCUAAAAGACUUAUAGUAUCAGACACGAUCAUGGUUUUAGAUCCCAUAAUAAAAAUGAAUGUUUUUCUUAUAAAAAAUUAUACGAAUGCUGAAGCGAGAUUCUACUAUUGUUCAUUGCUUCCUUUUCUUUUUUGUGAUUUUCACCAAUUAAUAGCACAUUUCUUCACAAAAGUAGAUAAAGUUGGUCAAAGACCAGAUAUUCUGGAGUGGAAAUUGUAAAGCUUAAUCAAAAAGAAUAGCCAGUACAGCAUACAAUCUCAGAAACUUAGAAGCAAGUAGAAAAUAAUUGGUUGAUGUAAACGAAAGUGCCAUUUUAGUAAAGGCAGGAAAAAAAAUAGCAAUAUUUGAGUUAUGUAAGGAUAAAAAAUCCACUGACUUGUAUUUUUGCACAAGAGGCUGGUCUGAAUAUGAUUGUUCACAUUAAGAGUGUUUAUUCGUCGGUUCGGUUUGGGGAUUUUCCCCCUUGAUGUUUUGACAGAUUGAAGUGAGCUUCAGUGAGCAAAAGGAUCAGAAUGCAGGGAACACUAAGCUGUGAUGAAGAAAGUGUGGUAAGAAUGGAAAGCCAGAGUAGUUUUAUACAGACAAAACCAGUGUCAGGCCUUUGCAGUAGGCUUGAGUGAACUUCUGAUCUAGAUUUGAAAGUAAAUUUUAUCAAGACAUUGCCCAUUUUUACUUCCUCAUUCAUUAUUGUACCAGCAUCAUAACUUCAUUACUCUAAUCCCAGGUAAGUCAAGCCUACAAUGCCCUAGAGGAAGAGUAAAACCAGAAAUUCAUGCUGGCUUAAAUAAUCUAUUUUUGUUUCUUCUCAUUUGAAUAUUUAAAUUUUAUGGUUUAUUAAAAAAUUAAAUAAA